rnacentral:rRNA from 1 species
GAUGAACGCUGGCGGCGUGCCUAAUACAUGCAAGUCGAGCGAACAGACGAGGAGCUUGCUCCUCUGACGUUAUCGGCGGACGGGUGAGUAACACGUGUAUAACCUACCUAUAAUACUGGGAUAACUUCGGGAAACCGGAGCUAAUACCGGAUAAUAUAUUGAACCGCAUGGUUCAAUAGUGUAAUACGGUUUUUCUGUCACUUAUAGAUUGAUCCUCGCCGCAUUAGCUAGUUGGUAAGGUAACGGCUUACCAAGGCAACGAUGCGUAGCCGACCUGAGAGGGUGAUCGGCCACACUGGAACUGAGACACGGACCAGACAACUACGGGAGGAAGCAGAAGGGAAUCUUCCGCAAUGGGCGAAAGCAUGACGGAGCAAAGCCGCGUGAGUGAUGAAGGUCUUCGGAUCGUAAAACUCUGUUAUUAGGGAAGAAAAAAUGUGUAAGUAAAUAUGCACGUCUUGACGGUAACUAAUAAGAAAGCCACGGCUAACUACGUG